UUUAUUUAUACACAAAUUUCACAACAUACAAAUAUAAUAUGUUAAUGAAUUAAUAUUGUUUCACAUACCAGAUGGGAAUAUUUAGUUCAUACAAUUCGAAUUCGAAACUAUGAAAUCAGUGAAUCCUUUUGUAUACGAAUUAAUAUUGCAACUGUCAAAUAUUCAAUUUUAAUUAAAAAUAUGAUUAAAAAUGUGUUUUUCUGAUUUGAUAAUUUUAUUAAAAUAAAAAUAAUCUUUAUUAGAACGAACGAAGUUAAUUACCUAGUAGUUUUCUUAAUUAUUAUUAUUAAUUAUAUAUUAUAAUUAUAUAUUAUAUAAUAUAUUAUAAUUAUAUAUUAUAUAAUAUAUUAUAAUUAAUAUUAAUUAUUAAUUAAUUAUUAGUUUGUUAGAUAAACAGCGUAGAAAAGCAAAUGGUAUAUUUAUAUUUAUUUUAAUGUGUGUGAGUAUAGAAAUACCAAAAUAGGUCAAAUUUAAAUUAUGAUCACAAGCCUCUUUAAAAAACAAGUAAACCACAAAGGGGAAAGUGGGAUUGUGAUUAAUCAUUUAUUAGGUUGUCUCUUCUUUCUAUAAUGAAAAUGUUAUAGUUGAUUGCAAAAAUUAGCAACAAAAAAAAUCAUGUGCUAUUGAAAUUAAUUAGAAUACACUCAAAGUAAGUUCUCUAAUGUUAAAAACAAACUGAACUUUUAUGAAUAGAGAAGGAAGGGACCUUUAAAUCAAUGUCAAUUUAUACUUUAAAUUUGAUGAGUGGAUUUUUUCAUAAAUAUGUAGGUAUCUGAAAAAUAAUGAAUUUGUGAAACUUAACCUUCCAACACUGCGUAAGUUGAUUACUUGUAUAUCAGCUUAAGUAUUAUUAUAAUCAAUUCAGAAAACCACAUCAUCUACUUUUUUCUCGUACAAAUGAUUUUUAAUUGUUGGAGAAAUACAAAAAGCAAAUAUAUAUUUGAAGAAAUAUGACACAGUAAAGAAUAUCCAUACCUUUUGACAUUUCAUUUUCUUUAUUUUUUUACAAAAUCAAUAACCAAAACCACCAUAAAACUAUAGAAUAAGGGUAGAAAACUAUACAGUAUGGUCCCCAAAUGAAAAUCAAUCCUAAAUCGCGGCAUUUCAUUUCUAUAUAAAUGCUACUACAGAGAAAACAAGAGGCAUCAUAAGUAAAUACAUGAAGAUUUGUCGAAGAUUCAAACUGUUUAUUUAUGUAUGUAUUAACAUUUUGAUAAGUAAAGACCGAUUCAUAGAUUUGACUUUCCGUUCGCGGGUGACGUCUGCGGAAAAUAACAAAGUGACAGCGCAAACGGAUGUGAUGGGCUCUUUUAUGUUGAAAGUCAACAACGGCAGACCAAUCGGCAAACGGCGACAUCAAACGGCAACCAUGAAUGGUCGUAUGCGAAGUUUUUAAUUUUGUAACAGCAAAUGGAAAGUCUAGUUAAUGAAUCGGCCAUAACUGAAUAUAGUUUAAGAAGAAAUAUUACUAUUAAUUAUCCAUUGCCAAAUAUUAGUUAUAGUAGUAGACAAAGCAACAUAUUCAAUCAAAUUUAAAUAUGAUCUAUAUCCAAUUUCAAUGAAGAUGGAAAUUAAUUUGACUGUGUAUAUACAGGGUGUUUCAAAACUUUCGCAUGCCAGUUAUAUCACUGCAUUAAACGAAUAAAAUCGAUUAAAAAUCACCAAUCACAUGUCUAUAACGCAUAUAUUAAUCGCAAAUUAACAAUAACGCCAAUCAAAGCUUGUGGAACGUUUAAGUUCCUCCCUAUCGAGCGGUCGAGAGCCAUAAAAGUAUUUAGCUGCUGCCGUAUUUUUGAACUUUGCGUUAUAGACAUGUGAUUGUUUGGUGAUUUUUAAUCGAUCUUUUUCGACUUAAUCGAUAUAACUCGCAUGCGAAGGUUUUGAAACACACGAUAUAUUGUGUUACAUAAAUUGAACUAAAUUUACAAAAACAACGUAACCUGGCUUCGUACCAAUAGGGUAGCAGUCCUCAAAUUGAUUAACAGUCAUGAUUGACUUAUUCUGACACUUCCAACCAUUGUCAUAUUUUGACAAAUUAUGUACCUAAAUGUUUCUGGUGUAUUUCUUUAUUCACAGGUGUAAUACAAUCAGCAAUUUUUGAGUUCACAGUUUUGACAGAAUGACGCGGCAAAGGACUUUGUUCUAUAAUAAAUACUGAUAUGAAGAUCUGAGAGAAAUUUAUCCUCAUGAAAUAUAUUACAUUUGUUUAGGUUAUGUAGAAGAUAUUUUGACUAGGAAUAAAAUAAUUCUCUGCAAAUUCAGAUUUAAAAAAUUAUUGAUACUAAGUAUUGGUUCAAAUCAUUUUAUGUUGUAGGACCAAUAAGAAAAGGAUUCUAGAAUAACAGGAAUGGGCACAAACAAAAGGAUUUGAAACAAGUUAUUGUAUAUACAUUUGCUCUAGUAAAAUGCCACAUUUCAAUGAAUAAAAUUUUUUGUCAAGAGAAUUUCAAAAUGAGGAGUAAAACACUAUUGUAAGUGCCAAAUGUUGUUAGAAUUUCUACUAAAUUCAUUUAGCUUACCCUAUUCCACUUUUUUUAUUUGUACCAAAGUUAUGUUGUAUUGGAAACUGUACCUGGGAAGGGUUUUUUUAUUAUUUAAAAAGUGUUUACCUAAUUCACAUUUUUUUAAGUAAAAAUAAACUUAUAAAUAAUAAAAAACAAAUCAUAUAUUUACUUUGUACUACUUCAAUUACUACAAAUUCAACCAAAUCUUUUUACAUACAAUUUAUUUUACUUCAGUUUUGAACACAUACAUUCCACAAAAAAGUUCUCUAUCAUUUUCUUUGUUCUACCUUUUAAUAUCUCAUUCAAUCAAAUUUUCAGUACCAUAAGUACAUAAAGCAUGCAACAGAUUUCUUUGAUAUCCUGUAACAAAUAAAUUUGAAAUUUUGGAGAGUAUAUUAAUAGUAAAUUUUGAUGUACCAAAAUAUAAUUCUCAAAACUCUUAACAAUAUAGACUAUUAAAAUAUUUUUUAAAAAUAAACAAUUGUUUAUCUGAAACCAGCAGAUGAUUAAAUAGAAAUGUAUCUAUAGAAUGAGGGCUACUGCAUUUAAGGCUCUGAUGCAGAGUGAGGUCUCCAAGAAUCAAUAUCAUUGUUUGUUCAGGGAACUUUAAUACGUAUUGUCAAGAUUCAAAUGCUUCAUUCAUAUUUGUGAAUGUUUUGAAAGGUCAUAGUUGUCACUUUGAAAAGAUAUCAACGUCUGCUUGAAAUUUUUUUAAUUAAAUGAAAUGUUUUUUUUGUAAUGACUAAUUUUGACAGUUAUACUUCAAUACCUCAUUAGAUGCAUAGAAACAGUAGCCCUUAUUAUAUUGUAAGUGAAACACCAUUAAUUUUUUAAACGAGGCGCCCCUACUGGAUCUGAAACCAGCACAGAUCACUCUAAAUUAUUUUGAAUUGGCAACAGGUCUGUUGUAUCUAUUUUAUAUGGAACAGCUAGGGAAACUUGGAAAUUAAAGAGAACAAAUGCAAGUUCCUUACAAAUAAUUAUAUUAUUAGAUACAGUAGUGGAUACACAAUGAAUUAAUUGUAAUAAAAAUAAUGUUCAUUCCUUUCUAUAUAGUUUGAUGCACAAAAAUUGGAAUAUUUACAUAGAUACAACUUACCCUUUACAAAAUAUUUUUUCGAUAAACACAUCAAUUGAAGUAAUAUAUCUGAUUGAAUCGAUACAUCGUAAACUAAUUUCAAUUGAUAUUAUAUCAAAUAUCCUUACGCUGGGGCGGAUUUACACGAAUCUGACAUUUAUUCAAAAUUUUUCGUUUUCACUACUCUAAUUCCUAAUAUCUGAUGAAAAUUGCAAAUUAUGGAAGUAAUAUUAUUUUAUUUAAAGAUGAUUAAACUAUAAUAAUUGACAGCCAUUCGGUUCAAAUCCGUCCCUGUUGUUUGUUCUGAUAAUUGAAUUUUCUGUACACAGGUAUUUUUUUAAGAUAAAACUUGAUAAAUAAAUGGAAUUCGAAAGAUAAUCAUAAGUAAAUAAGGUUGAUUUUUUACCAAAUAUCUGGAGGUGCUGGAAAGUUGGCCACUGCUUUAAUUCAAUUCUGAAUUUCAAGUCUGAAACUAUACAUGACAAAAAUAUGGGAUGUUCCAUUUAUGUAUUCUGGUGAAGUUUUAUCUCUCGAAUUCCAAGCUCAUUUAAAUAUUGAGGGUUUGAGAAUUAUAAACUAUGAUGCUUUAUUUUAGUCAGCACGUUUCUGGCACCACAAAGGUUUUCCCAGUAUUUUCCUCUUCACCGAAUACCUCAUGUUGCGGCUUUUCUGGAACAUUGGGUCCUCUCAAUUCCAGUGUAACCAAAUUUUUAUAUCCAUCCAAUGCCAAGACCACAAAUCGACCAUGUGAAGUAAUUUCGCAUGCUGAUAUUUUCAUUUUUGGUGUAUAGACUGCUACCAAUUCACCUACAAUUUCCAGAUUUUUCAAGUAAUGGAUUUAGUUCAAUGACUAUAGUUUGAUUCUUACCUUUAUUAAGAUCCCAUAUUCUGAUUGAUCUAUCCCUGCAUUCUAAAUCUCUAGAAAGACAGUAGCCACCUGUCGGAUCUAGUUUCAAUGACGAUACUGGUGCUGUAUGUCCACUUAAUGACCAACGACAGUUACCUGUAAAUAUAACGUUAGAUUAGCAGAAUAGAAUUAUUAUAAAAUGAGUUGAUGUAACGAACACCACAUGUCUUAAACCAAAGUGAAAGUGAAAAUAGAAGAUUUCUGGUGUUUUCUUCUCCUCGGCUCCAUGUUACUUACCAGUUAUGAGGUCCCACACAAGUAUUCUUGCGUCCUCAAGACCAGAUAUGACACAGCCACCUUGUGAGCUUAUUUCUAAGGAAACCGUAUUACAGGAUGGCUUCCAUUUCUUGAAUAAUGUACCACUUUGCAAAUCAUAGACAACAAUAAAAUUGGGAUUUGGUUCGGCUAUCUCAUAACAAACACAACAAACGUAGUUACCUACGAAUUAAUCAAUAUGUUUAAAUGUUUGGUACAGGGAAUAAAGUUUUGAAUAUAAGGAAUCGAGAAUAAAUGGAAGGGCUGAGUAUAUUAAA